UACGAAGGGAGCUAGCGUUGUUCGGAAUCACUGGGCGUAAAGCGCACGUAGGCGGAUGUGUCAGUCAGGGGUGAAAUCCCGGAGCUCAACUUCGGAACUGCCCUUGAUACAGCACGUCUUGAGUCCGGAAGAGGUGGGUGGAAUUCCUAGUGUAGAGGUGAAAUUCGUAGAUAUUAGGAAGAACACCGGUGGCGAAGGCGGCGUUCUGGACUGCAACUGACACUGAUGAACGAAAGCCAGGGGAGCAAACGGG
rnacentral:rRNA from 1 species